UACACAACUUUCGACAACGGAUCUCUUGGUUCUCGCAUCGAUGAAGAACGUAGCA
rnacentral:rRNA from 2 species